UAAUACGAAAGGUGCAAGCGUUGUUCGGAUUUACUGGGCGUAAAGAGAUCGUAGGUGGUUUAUUAAGUCGGAUGUGAAAUCCCGGGGCUCAACCCCGGAACUGCAUUCGAUACUGAUAGGCUAGAGUUCGGGAGGGGUAAGCGGAAUUCCGUGUGUAGCAGUGAAAUGCGUAGAUAUACGGAGGGACACCUGAGGCGAAGGCGGCUUACUGGACCGAUACUGACACUGAGGAUCGAAAGCGUGGGUAGCAAACAGGAUUAGAUACCCUGGUAGUCCACGCCCUAAACGAUGUCAACUAGCCGUUGCGGGUAUCGACCCCUGCAGUGGCGAAGCUAACGCGAUAAGUUGACCGCCUGGGGAGUACGGUCGCAAGAUUA
rnacentral:rRNA from 1 species